rnacentral:rRNA from 1 species
UACGAAGGGGGCUAGCGUUGCUCGGAAUCACUGGGCGUAAAGCGCACGUAGGCGGAUUGCUAAGUCCGGUGUGAAAUCCUGGAGCUCAACUCCAGAACUGCCUUUGAUACUGGCGAUCUUGAGUCCGGGAGAGGUGAGUGGAACUGCGAGUGUAGAGGUGAAAUUCGUAGAUAUUCGCAAGAACACCAGUGGCGAAGGCGGCUCACUGGCCCGGUACUGACGCUGAGGUGCGAAAGCGUGGGGAGCAAACAGG